rnacentral:rRNA from 1 species
GCUAGCGCAGAUGGUACUGCUAACCAGUGGGAGAGUAUGUCGCCGCCUUUC